GUCAUGAUGGCCGAGCGGUCUAAGGCGCUGCGUUCAGGCUGCAGGCGGGUCUCCCCGGCGUAGGUUUGAAUCCUACUUGUGACA